rnacentral:tRNA from 1 species
GAAUUAUGGUUUAUGGUUGGAUGAAGUACUUUGAAAGUAUGGGCAGAAGGUUCGAUUCCUUCGUAGUUCU